CGGGCGGUGAACUCCCAGCGGGCGUCCGGCAGCGGGUGGUGGCCGAAGUGGUCGCCGUCGCUCAGGACGCCGAGGCUCGCCUCCUCCCCGUACGCGCUCUCGCCGAGCCGCUCGAUGCGGCCGUGGGCGAUGAGGUAGAUCUUGUCGACGGGUUCGCCGCGGCGGACGAUCACGUCGCCCUUGCGGAACUCCUCCUUGACGAACCGGUCCGCGAUCGACUUGACGACCGCGUCGUCGGGGAAGUGCCGGAGCAUGCCGAGCUCGCGCAGCAUGGGCGGGAUGACCCGGAGUUCGGUUCCGGUCUUGACGAAGCUGAUGCGCCCGUCGCCGAGGGUGUAGCUGACCGUGCGGUUGACCCGGUAGGUGCCGCCGCUGGUCUGGACCCACGGGAGGAUCUUCAGCAGCCAGCGGGAGCUGAUGCCCUGCAUCUGCGGGGCGGACUUGGUGGUGGUGGCGAGAUUCCGCGCCGCAUCGGUGCUGAGGCUCUGGCG
rnacentral:antisense_RNA from 1 species